rfam:Haemophilus haemoglobinophilus strain CCTG 3714 3714T_ctg_0000045, whole genome shotgun sequence.
GGGGCUGAUUCUGGAUUCGACGGGAUUAGCGAAGCCCAAGGUGCACGUCGAGGUGCGGUAGGCCUCGUAAAUAAACCGCAAAAUAAUAGUCGCAAACGACGAACAAUUUGCUUUAGCAGCUUAAUAACCUGCUCAUAGCCUUCACUCCCCAGCUUCCGCUCGUAAGACGGGGAUCCAGUGGAGUCAAACCCAAACGAGAUCGUGUUGAAGCCGCCGCUUUAGGAUCGAAGCACUAAAUUGAAUAAAGCUAGUUUUUUGAUAGCGUGUCUGUCCGCAGUCAAUUUACGAAAUUAAAGACUAGACUAAACGUGUAGUGCUGAAGGUAGAGUAAUUUCGGACGGGGGUUCAACUCCCCCCUGCUCCACCA